rnacentral:rRNA from 1 species
GGCGGACGGGUGAGUAAUGCAUAGGAACUUGCCAUUAAGAGGGGGAUAACCCGGGGAAACUCGGGCUAAUACCGCAUAAUCUCUAAGGAGCAAAGGAAGGGAUCUGUAAAGACCUUCCACUUAAUGAGAGGCCUAUGUUGGAUUAGCUAGUUGGUAGAGUAAAAGCCUACCAAGGCGACGAUCCAUAGCUGGUCUGAGAGGAUGGUCAGCCACACUGGAACUGAGACACGGUCCAGACUCCUACGGGAGGCAGCAGUGGGGAAUCUUGGACAAUGGGGGAAACCCUGAUCCAGCAAUGCCGUGUGUGUGAAGAAGGCCUAAGGGUUGUAAAGCACUUUUGGUAAGGAGGAGAAGCGUUAAACGAAUAAUUUAACGUGGAGACGUUACUUACAGAAUAAGCACCGGCUAACUCUGUGCCAGCAGCCGCGGUAAUACAGAGGGUGCAAGCGUUAAUCGGAAUGAUUGGGCGUAAAGCGCGUGUAGGCGGUAAGAAAAGUUGGGUGUGAAAUCUCCGGGCUUAACCUGGAAACUGCAUUCAAAACUGGCUUACUAGAGUUCA